CUGUACGAAUAUCGUACAUCCGAUUGCUUAGAAAAGUCAUAGCACACCUCUCCUCAAUAAGCCGCACGAUUUGACACCUCAUUCAUGGGUCUACGACAAACAGUGCAGGAGGAGUAGCGCGCCAAAAGUUUUUCAGGGCGAAUAGUAAUAGUAACACUAGAAUGUACAUUUCCUGAAGAAAAUGUGAGUGGUGCUUGCAGUGGCAAAACUCGGCGCUCGGUUGCUAAGGUGUUUCUUGGCGUUUGUUAGAGCGGUUGCUAGGGUACCCAAGGUGGUUGCUAGGGUGUAGCUAUGUGGUUGCUAGGUCACUUGGGGUGGUUGCUAAGGUGUUGCUAAGCGGUUGCUAGGGUGUUCUGGGUGGUUGCUAGGCGGUUGCUAGGCAGUUGCUAAGGUACUUAGGGUGGUUGCUAAGGUGUUGCUAAGCGGUUGCUAGGGUACCCAAGGUGGUUGCUAGGGUGUAGCUAUGUGGUUGCUAGGUUACUUGGGGUGGUUGCUAAGGUGUUGCUAGGCGGUUGCUAAGGUGUUCUGAGUGGUUGCUAGGUGGUUGCUAUGGUAACCUGGGUGGUUGCUAGGCAGUUGCUAAGGUACUUGGGGUGGUUGCUAAGGUGUAUCUAUCCGGUUGCUAGGGUGUUCUGGGUGGUUGCUAGGUGGUUGCUAGGCAGUUGCUAAGGUACUUGGGGUGGUUGCUAAGGUGUUGCUAGGUGGUUGCUAGGCGGUUGCUAUGGUAACCGGGGUAGUUGCUAUGCUGUUACUAGGUGGUUGGUAGUUGUCACAGAUGGUCACUAUGAAGUUUAUAUAGAGUUCAUAGCAUGUUGUUAGCCAAUUUGAGCACUUAGCUAAUCACUAUUAGCAUGUAGCUAUUCACUGCUAGCAUGACUAGCAAGUUGGAAUUCCAGUUUGCUAGCAUGAGUCAAAAAAGCCAACCGCCAUGUCUGUACGAUGUUCUGAUGCAGAGAUAUAGAUCUUGCAAAACGGUUGCUAGGGUACUCUGUUUGGUUGCUAGGGAGUGGC
ensembl:lncRNA